rnacentral:rRNA from 1 species
AGUUAAUGACUAGUAUCCAUAUCUGUUAAGGAUAUGAGAAGGAAGACGCAGUGAACUGAAACAUCUAAGUAGCUGCAGGAAGAGAAAGCAAAAGCGAUUGCCUUAGUAGCGGCGAGCGAAACGGCAGGAGGGCAAACCGAAGUGUUUACACUUCGGGGUUGUAGGACUGCGAUAUAGGAUUAAUCAUUAUAGAAGAAUUACCUGGGAAGGUAAGCCAAAGAGAGUAACAGCCUCGUAUUUAAAAUGAUAGAUUAACCUUAGCAGUAUCCUGAGUACGGCGAGACACGCGAAAUCUCGUCGGAAUCUGGGAGGACCAU